rnacentral:tRNA from 1 species
GCCGGCGUAGCUCAGUUGGCAGAGCAACUGACUUGUCAUCAGUAGGUCCUGGGUUCGAUUCCGCGUGCCGGCACCA